GAUUUUGAUCCCUCCUUACUUCUUUCGCAGUUAUCUGUGUCAGAGAAGGCUAACCCCGCCCCAGGAUCCAUACUUCCCUCAUUGCUGUUCAGCUACAGAAACAUGAUGCUGAGAAGGAGUCAAGGCUUCACCAGACUGCCAAAGGGAUCUGCGGCACAAAAAUCUAAGAACCUCUGCUCCAACAUCAUCACAGGAGCUGUGGGACCACGUGGGACCUUUCCAGAGGUCUUGGUAGAAAAUGUUGGGAGAGAGAGAGGUUGGGGAGACCAGACUCAAAACUCCCAAUCUCCUUCAGAGGCUGACUUGGUAUGGCCUGAACUGUGUAGAAAAACUAAAGAUAUGUUCCCUCCAUUCUAGGAAAUACACGCAUGUUUCCCAUUGUCUAAUACCAAUCAUGUUUCUAGUU